rnacentral:tRNA from 1 species
GUCAGGAUGCCAGAGCUGGGCAUCUUGUAACACUUAAAGCUUUAUUGCCAGAGGUUCGAUUCCUCUUCCUGACA